UACGUAGGGUCCGAGCGUUGUCCGGAAUUAUUGGGCGUAAAGGGCUCGUAGGCGGUUUGUUGCGUCGGGAGUGAAAACUUACAGCUUAACUGUGAGCGUGCUUCCGAUACGGGCAGACUUGAGGUAUUCAGGGGGGGAACGGAAUUCCUGGUGUAGCGGUGAAAUGCGUAGAUAUCUGGAGGAACACCGGUGGCGAAGGCGGCAUCCUGGACCGGUAUUGACGCUGAGGAGCGAAAGCCAGGGGAGCAAACGGG
rnacentral:rRNA from 1 species